rnacentral:rRNA from 1 species
UCUGGCUCAGGAUGAACGCUGGCGGCGUGCAUAACACAUUCAAGUCGAACGAAGGACAGAGCUUGCUCUGUUACUUAGUGGCGGACGGGUGAGUAACGCGUGAGUAAUCUGGCCUCUGUGUGCGGGAUAACAGCUGGAAACGGCUGCUAAUACCGCAUGAUGCAUCGAGACCGCAUGGUCAUGAUGCCAAAGAUUUAUUGCACAGAGAUGAACUUGCGUCCGAUUAGAUAGUUGGCGGGGUAAAGGCCCACCAAGUCUACGAUCGGUAGCCGGACUGAGAGGUUGAACGGCCACAUUGGAACUGAGAUACGGUCCAGACUCCUACGGGAGGCAGCAGUGGGGAAUUUUGGGCAAUGGGCGAAAGCCUCGACCCAGCGACGCCGCGUGAAGGAAGAAGAUCUUCGGAUUGUAAACUUCUGUCAACAGGGAAGAAACAAAUGACGGUACCUGUGGAGGAAGCCACGGCUAACUACGUGCCAGCCGCAGC